rnacentral:rRNA from 1 species
CCUACGGGAGGCAGCAGUGAGGAAUAUUGGUCAAUGGGCGAGAGCCUGAACCAGCCAAGUCGCGUGAAGGAUGACGGCCCUACGGGUUGUAAACUUCUUUUGUCAGGGAGCAAUUGGGUCCACGCGUGGGCUUAGCGAGAGUACCUGAAGAAAAAGCAUCGGCUAACUCCGUGCCAGCAGCCGCGGUAAUACGGAGGAUGCGAGCGUUAUCCGGAUUUAUUGGGUUUAAAGGGUGCGUAGGCGGAAUAUCAAGUCAGCGGUAAAAAUUCGGGGCACAACCCCGUCGUGCCGUUGAAACUGAUGGUCUUGAGUGGGCGAGAAGUAUGCGGAAUGCGUGGUGUAGCGGUGAAAUGCAUAGAUAUCACGCAGAACUCCGAUUGCGAAGGCAGCAUACCGGCGCCCAACUGACGCUGAGGCACGAAAGCGUGGGGAGCAAACAGGAUUAGAUACCCUUGUAGUC